GCAGAUAAGAAAAAUUUUAAAUAUUUGGCACAGUGUAAGGAGGGACAAGUACCCUCCCCUAAGCCUCAAUUUCUUCAUCUUUAUAAUGCAGAUGUUAAUAAUACAUAUGGACAAUUACUAAUAUCUAGGUGUAUAUGAAGAGUUUAUCACAUAAAACCGUUCAAUGAAUGUUGUUAUUAAUUAAUAUACAGUGCGCAUCUAUUCUGCUUUCAUUUCAGCAAAUUGUUUCCCAUGUAAGUAAAUUUUUCAGCUAACCCAGGCUCUGUAAGUUUUUCCAGCUAAUUUGGAUUUUUAAAAGCUUUUAUUUAUUUCCUGCUGUUAGGUGGUGUUUUAAACUUGUUUCACUUUCUCCUAUAAAUGUAUAUAUAUGCCUCAGUAAUGAUCCCCUUAGAGCAGUGGUUCCCAACCUUUUUGACACCUGGGACCAGUUUCGUGGAAGACAAUUUUUCCACAGAGAAAUUGAGGUGGGGAGAUGGUUUCAGGAUGAAACUGUUUCACCUCAGGUCAUCAGGCAUUAUUAGUUAGAUUCUCAUAAGGAGCACACAACCUAGAUCCCUCGCAGGCAUAGUUCGCCAUAGGGUUUGUGCUUCUGUGAGAAUCUCAUGCUGCCGCUGAUCCGACAGGAGGCAGAGCUCAGGUGGUAAUGCUUGCUCGCCAGCCACUCACUGCCUGCUGUGUAUCCCAGUUCCUAACAGGCCGCAGACCCAUGACCCAUAACCCAUACCAGUCUGCAGCUCGUGGGUUGGAGACCCCUAGCUUAGAGAAUUCUCCAAAUGCGCAUUCCAAGAAAUAAAUGGAGCUUCCUACUUUGAAUGCCAUACAUUACUAAAAGUUUGCUAAAAUGUAAUCUGAUUUUUAUUACUGAUUUAGUAUUGAACACUUAACUGUGCCUUGCUUUUGAUAGAAAUAAUGAGAAUUUGCAAAAGUAUGCUAUCUAAUUGAAUCCACUGAUCUGUAUAAAUUUUUUUUUUUGAGUCUCCAUCACCCAGGCUGGAGUGCAGUGGCUUGAUCUUGGCCCACUGCAGCCUCCAACUCCCUGGCUCAGUUCUCCUACCUCAGCCUCUCGAGUAGCUGUGACUACAGGCAUGUGUUACCAUGCCUGGCUAAUUUUUUAACUUUUUUGUAGACAGGUGGUUUCAUCAUGUUGGCCAGGCCUCAAACUCCUGGGCUCAAGUGAUCAAUCCACCUCCAGCAUCCCAAAGUGCUGGGAUUACAGGCAUGAGCCACCAUGCCCAGCCUAUAAAAUAUUCUUAAGUGAGCUGUUGAAUUAAAAUUAAUCCUGUUGCUGACCCAGGACCAUCAUGAAUAGAAUAGUACCAAAUAGAAUCUUCAUAACAGUGGUGAUACCAUCAUCAAGAAUUAAAUUCCUACUUGUCACUACACCUUAUCUGGACUCAUAGAUAACAAUUUUUGGUUUUUUUUUUCUUCUGAUACCUUCAGUGUUACAGUGUUUUAGUCUUCUUAAUAAUAACUUAGGUUUUUCUAUUUUCAGUAUGCAACGUUCGUUAUUUAUGUAACAUGUUGCUUUUAAUGUGUUAUAAAUUCAUAAACCCUAGAACACUAGGUUUGUGAAGUUAGUGAACCUAGUGAAGCUAUAGUAUAUCUUUAUGAAUGAAGUGAAUGAACUUUGGUACACAGGUUUCUUGAUGUUUAUUUUAGCUGCAUAGAAGACUUUGUGCAAAAGAAAUGAUACAGCUUUGCCUAGCACACAUGACAAAACUGUGAUUUCCUCACAGGCACACUUUGUUCUUUCCUACUUCUGUGAAGGUAAAUUUAAUACAAUAAAAAAUAUUUUUUAAUGGGAUUAUUUAAAACUUAAUUAUAUUUCUUGAGUUUAGUAGCUAGUUUUGCUUCACUGACACAACAUUGUGCUUUGUUUACCAUUUUCAGAUAUUAAGCAGGAAAAGGCAUCAAGAGAUCAAGUUUGAACUCCUAAUUUUUAUAUAGAUACAACUCUCGAAGUGCUAUCAUUUUGCACAUUUGGUUUAAAUCGUGUAUUGUUAAUAUCACAGCUGUCAAAGAACAUAAUUCACUUAAUUGUAUUUUGACAGUUGGUCUACUUAAGGUUCUAAGAAACAGUUUUUUGUGUUUUUUUUUGUUUUUGUUUGUUUUUUGAGAUGGAGUUUCACUCUUGUCACCCAGGCUGGAGUACAAUGGCACGAUCUCGGCUUACCUCAACCUCUGCCUCCCGAGUUCAAGCGAUUCUCCUGCCUCAACCUCCUGAGUAGCUGGCAUUACAGGCGCGUGCCACCCGGCCCAGCUAAUUUUGUAUUUUUUGUAGAGACAGGGUUUCACCAUGUUGGCCAGGUGGGUCUCGAACUCCUGACCUCAGGUGAUCCACCCACUUUGGCCUCCCAGAGUGCUGGGAUGAGGCUCACAGGCGUGAGUCACCACACCCGGCCUGAGUUUAUGAUGUGGUGGAAUUCAGUGAAUAAAUUUAAUGAAUAAACUGCAUUGAACCAUAUGAAAACAUGGGUGUGCUUUAUUUACCGUGUGAUUUAGGAAACUUAUCUUUGACAUUUGCCUAAGUCUCCGUGCCAUCAGUUUAAUUUAAAGCUAGACUUAUGGUAUGGCUCAUUAAAUGUUUUGAUUGUUUGAUGAAUUGGUAUAUGUGUUAGCACGAAUGUAUUUAUUAUUGCAAGGCACAAUACCUAAAAAGCCUUAUUGAGAUAAUUAAAAUACUUAUGUUCCCUUUGAUUGAUGUUUCUUUUUUCUUUUUCUUUUUUUUUUUUUUUUAUAGGACUUCUGUAACGAUAAGAGUUAUAUUUCAGAAGAGACAAGAGUACUUCUGUUAACAGGAAAGCCAAAGCCUGCUGGAGUACUAGGUGCAGUAAAUAAGCCUUUAUCAGCAACGGGAAGGAAACCCUAUGUUAGAAGCACUGGCACUGAGACUGGAAGCAAUAUUAAUGUAAAUUCAGAGCUGAACCCUUCAACCGGAAAUCGAUCAAGAGAACAGAGUUCAGAGGCAGCAGAAACUGGAGUUAGUGAAAAUGAAGAGAACCCUGUGAGGAUUAUUUCAGUCACACCUGUAAAGAAUAUUGACCCAGUAAAGAAUAAGGAAAUUAAUUCUGAUCAGGCUACCCAGGGCAACAUCAGCAGUGACCGAGGAAAGAAAAGAACAGUAACAGCAGCUGGUGCAGAGAAUAUCCAACAAAAAACAGAUGAGAAAGUAGAUGAAUCGGGACCGCCCGCCGCUUCCAAACCCAGGAGAGGACGUCGACCCAAGUCUGAAUCUCAGGGCAAUGCAACCAAAAAUGAUGAUCUAAAUAAACCUAUUAACAAGGGAAGGAAGAGAGCUGCAGUGGGUCAGGAGAGCCCUGGGGGUUUGGAAGCAGGUAAUGCCAAAGCACCCAAACUGCAAGAUUUAGCCAAAAAGGCAGCACCAGCAGAAAGACAAAUUGACUUACAAAGGUAAUGUACGCCAUUCUUCCUCAAGUGGGAAUUUAGACAUUUUGUUUUAUUCGUAGUAUAUUCUUAGUGCCAGUCACCCCAAACACCUAAGCAUUUGAGAGAGAAACCUGCUUCUGGUUUUCCUGGGUCUGUUUAUAAUAAUAGCAUCUGUUAUUAUCUCAUAACUUCCAGUUUUAAGUCACAAAUUUGAAGAAAAAUCUUUUUUCUUUGUGUAAUUUUUAUUUAGAUAUGGUAUUUUGAUAUUUCUGUUUUUAUUAACAAGACAAAUAUUUCUUUUGCUUAGUGCCUUUCAAGUGGUUGCAGAGGUUUACAUAAAAUAAGGGGCUACCUUUUGGAUACAAGGUCCCAUAAUGGAGAAAACAGUCACCAAAUGUCAAUAGGUAAUAGGUCCCACUCUUUAAUUCUUUGUGUUAUAGUUAAUUCUAACACAGGUCAACAACUUUCCUUUUCCCCACCCUGCCCAGAGAAACAACUUACCAAACUGUUCAUCUUUGAUCAUUCUUGGGCUGAGAUUUCAGACUCUUCCUUUUGGAAAUCUAGAAGGUGGCUCCUUUCACCUUGGCCUUAGAACUUAACUCGUCCUCCUUUUUUCCUUACAUACCUAACUCAUUUACCCCUGGAUUAGACUGUAGGCAUUUCAGUUUCUUCUAGGGAAGAGUCCCAGAUUUGAUCAGCUCAGGAUACCCCACUAUCCUGCUUCAGUAUUUUUAUAAAACUCCAUGUCAGGCCGUGCACAGUGGCUCAUGCCUGUAAUCCCAACACUUUGGAAGGCCUAGGUGGGUGGAUCACCUGAGGUCAGGAGUUCAAGACCAGCCUGACCAACAUGGUGAAACCCCAUCACUACU
rnacentral:sRNA from 1 species